rnacentral:rRNA from 1 species
GAUGAACGCUGGCGGCGUGCUUAACACAUGCAAGUCGAACGGAAAGGCCUCAGCUUGCUGGGGUACUCGAGUGGCGAACGGGUGAGUAACACGUGGGUGAUCUGCCCUGCACUUUGGGAUAAGCUUGGGAAACUGGGUCUAAUACCGAAUAUGACCACUUCUUGGAUGUUGUGGUGGAAAGCUUUUGCGGUGUGGGAUGAGCCUGCGGCCUAUCAGCUUGUUGGUGGGGUAAUGGCCUACCAAGGCGGCGACGGGUAUCCGGCCUGAGAGGGUGUACGGACACAUUGGGACUGAGAUACGGCCCAGACUCCUACGGGAGGCAGCAGUGGGGAAUAUUGCACAAUGGGCGCAAGCCUGAUGCAGCGACGCCGCGUGGGGGAUGAAGGCCUUCGGGUUGUAAACUCCUUUCGCUAUCGACGAAGCCACUUGUGGUGACGGUAGGUAGAUAAGAAGCACCGGCUAACUACGUGCCAGCAGCCGCCGCAG